GACAGAGGCCUCGAGCGUUAGGCGGAAUCACUGGGCUUAAAGCGUGCGUAGGUGGUUUGUUAAGUCUGAUGUGAAAGCCCUGGGCUCAACCUGGGAAUUGCAUUGGAUACUGGCAGGCUAGAGUGCGGUAGGGGAUGGCGGAAUUCCCGGUGUAGCAGUGAAAUGCGUAGAGAUCGGGAGGAACACCCAGGGGGAAACCAGCCGACUGGGCAUCUACUGACGCUGAGGUGCGAGAGCGUGGGGAGCGAACCGG
rnacentral:rRNA from 1 species